rnacentral:rRNA from 1 species
UACGGUAAAAGAUAGUUAAGCAAAAGAAACGAAAAGGAUUAUAAGAUCUUUAGUAUAGGAGUAAAAUCUAGAUACUAAUAGUUAUACCGAGCAUAAUUUGUUGAUGUGCUGAGUCUGUGAUAGCUUUAAGGGAAACUGGGAUUGGAUACCCCAUUAUUUUUAGUUGUAAAUUUAGUUUAGGCUUACCAGAGUACUACGAAUAAAAAGUUUAAAACUCAAAGGGCUUGGCGGUGUUUUAGACCUCUCAGGGGAACCUGUCUCGUAAUCGACAAUCCGCGUUAAACCUAACCUUUUAUAGCAAUACAGCCUGUAUACCGUCGUCGUCAGGUAACUUCUUAAAAUAUAGUAGUUAGCUCGAGAAUUAGAUUAAUUAAAACGUCAGAUCAAGGUGCAGCUAAUAAAAAGGUGAGGAUGGGUUACAAUUACAUAUUUGUAAUUACGGAAAAACGCUUGAAAUGAAGCAUCUUAAAGGAGGACUUGAAAGUAAUUUUAAUAAUAUAAGUAAGAUGAAUAGGGCUCUGAAACGUG